rnacentral:lncRNA from 1 species
AAAGAUUUAUCAAACGAUGUAUUUGUUUCUACUCGUGUAUCGUUUAGAAAACAGUAACACACGCGACACAACGUUUACAAAAUUCUUGUUAGAAAGAAAUGCGGCCUAAGAAAAAUCUUAUUAGAAUCACAAGAAGUUCUGAUAGGUCGUAAAAUAAACUUCCCAUCACUUUAUUCUUUUCACAUGUCAAUUUAAAAAAAAAAAUUCGCAACGAUGUCAUAAUUGAAAGCACGAGGAAGGCUGACCAAAAUGUUCAACUUGCGGCUAGUGAUUGACAGGUAUGAUUAUAUCUUGGGGCUCUUGUGGGGAGCGUGGUGUCGGACGGAAAAAAGAUUUCCAGUAUUCAUAUAUAUAUAAAUGUCGAUCUGAUGUGGAAAAUUGUGAGGUUUUUUUUAAUAGCACAAAGAAAAAGACGUUAGAAGAGUAACAAUGUGUAACUAUAAACGAAUUACUCGUUUAUAAUCUACGAGACUGAUCAGAUCGAAGUUUGAUAAAAAAAAAAAAAAAAAAAAAAAGCAUUCAAUAUCAAACCUUCUUGGUUGGAGAAAACAUGUUCAAUGUAUACCUGCAAAUAUGUCUUAAUAAAUUAUAUUGUGUAUUUAAAUUAUCUCCAUUGAAUACAAUACAAUUUAUUAAAUGUAUCUAUGAUAUCCUCC